rnacentral:rRNA from 1 species
CAUGCACGUCUAAGUACAAACUAAAUGAUGGUGAAACUGCAAAUGGCUCAUUACAACGGUUAUGAUGUACCCGGGAGUUCCGAUGGAUAUUUCCAGUAACACUAGAACUAAUACAUGCUCCUGCGUUUAUUAGUUUCGCACAGUCCGUCGCUGGGUCAUGGUAAACAGUUGAUCGACUCGACGUCCCGGAACAGUUUCCGCCCCAUCAGCUUCGAUGGUUGGGUAUUGGCCUACCAUUGCAACAACGGGUAACGAGGAAUUAGGGUUUGAUUUCGGAGAGGGAGCCUGAGAAACGGCUACCACAUCUACGGAUGGCAGCAGGCGCGCAAAUUACCCAAUGCAGACUCUGUGAGGUAGUGACGAGAAAUAAUAAAGCGGGACUUCUGUUUCGCUAUUAUAAUGAGGAAUAACCAAAGGUCAUUCCGAUUAGCAACUGAUGGGAAAGUCUGGUGCCAGCAGCCGCGGUAAUACCAGCGUCAGUAGCAUAUAUUAAAAUUGUUGCAGUUAAAACGUCCGUAGUCUGUACGUCGUCCCAAACUCACUGCAGUCUUCCGUUUUCUUCAUUGAAUGCGGUAGUUUCUGCAGUCACUCCCUUGAUCAAAUUAGGUUGUUCAAGGUAGACCAAGUCUUCAUAUUUUCACAUGGAAUUGGGUGAGGGAACUUAAGAGUUUAAGUUUCUCGUCUUAGGAUCAUCCGGGGUCAUUCGUACUCGUCCGCGAGAGGUGAAAUUCUUGGAC